rnacentral:rRNA from 1 species
UCCUACGGGGGGCAGCAGUGAGGAAUAUUGGUCAAUGGGCGAGAGCCUGAACCAGCCAAGUCGCGUGAAGGAUGACGGCCCUACGGGUUGUAAACUUCUUUUGUCAGGGAGCAAUUGGGUCCACGCGUGGGCUUAGCGAGAGUACCCGGAGAAAAAGCAUCGGCUAACUCCGUGCCAGCAGCCGCGGUAAUACGGAGGAUGCGAGCGUUAUCCGGAUUUAUUGGGUUUAAAGGGUGUGCAGGCGGCGAGUUAAGUCAGCGGUAAAAUUUCGGGGCUCAACCCCGACGCGCCGUUGAAACUGGCUU